AUGAUUCUCCGUAGUGACACAGGCCAAGUCAUCUACUCCUCCUACCGCUACCUCCAGUCUUGCUCUUCGGCGCUAGAGGCAGAACUUGCUACAUGCCUGGAAGGAAUCAACAUUGCGAGAGCCUGGAGUACGGCUCCUAUGAUAGUAGAAACUGACUGCUUGGUAGCUGCCCAGAUGAUACUUCAGAGCGAAACCAACAGGUCACCAUGUGCGGCCCUUGUAGGGGAGAUUAAGACAGUGCUAGUGGAGGUAGGAGAACAUGCGAUCUCACAUGUGGUCAGGAGCAGGAACAAAGUCGCCCAUGCUCUAGCUCGCAUGGGUCAGGUUGAGCAACGGACAACAGUCUGGCUACGUAGCUCACCGGGAGAAAUUGAUAUCAUUUGUAAUGCGGACUGUAAUGAUCCCACUUAA
rnacentral:rRNA from 1 species